GAAGAGUUUACCAUCAUAUCCAAUCUUUGGCAGGCUGUACCUUCAUGUUCAGCGUUCUGUUGGAGACGUUUGCGUUUCAUUUCCUGAGGAUUACAGCACCUGGUGAACAUCAUAAUCUUUGAACACACUCACCAGCUGGAGUAAGAGGAAAUUUUUUCUCGCGCGCAGCUUGCAAAUUCCGGAAAACAUAAACAGCCCACUUUAUCUUUGUACUGUCUAAUUUUAGGCUACGAACGCUUCCUCUUGGGAAAAUUUUGGCGGUGAAAACCCGCAGGACUUAUUCAUUUCAUUUCUCAAAAUUGCACUGAACUGAGGAGGUCAAUGAAAAGUGCAACGACCACUUAUCAAAAAACCGAAGUUGUAAAAACAACAAGAUACUUCUCAUCACGCUGACUAGCAAAUAUGUACACGUGUUGAUGAAACUGAAGAAAGUCAAAACUAAAUACAUCCAGGUUUUUUUUUUUGCUUUUGGGUUUAUUGUUGAUAAAUAAGACCCUUGUGAGGAGCCCCUCACUCGGAACAAUAAGAACACUGAGCUUCGGCCUCGUGCUUUCAUCAAUUUCCUCUUCUUUAGGAACCUUGAUGAAACACUCACCCUCGUUUAUGAAAUAGUAUAAGGAACAGAACAUAUUCCUGUUUGGGACCAGGUUAGAUUUAUUGAUCAUGACUCUCACUGGUACAAACAUAGUAUUAAAGAAGCCACCCACAUAUAACUUUAUCCUAAUAACAUCAGUGGAGAUAGUGGAAUCGAAAUUCCUGGAGCAUGCCUACUAUCAAGAAACGUGACCGAUCCUCACCGGGGGAAGUUUAGGAAUUCCCAAACAGUUGAAACAGAUCCUUUUCGAUCUGCUCUUUUGAAAAAAAAAAAAAUCAAUUAACAACUGUUAUCAAGUACUGACGUUAUUUUUCUACGAUGUUUUGGACAACUCACUGACUGAAAGCUGGUUUUAUGUUUUGCGCCAUUAAAGGCAAAGCAUGUAAACUAGCGGUAUUCCUUUUUUGUCGAAUUUCUUCAGACCUGACGUGGAUAUUUACCACCGUUUUUAUUUUAGAAAAACAAGAUAAGAAAAUUUUCGACCAGACAAGAGGAACAACCUCUGAGAAACCUUAUAUCUAAACUAAAGGUCACGGAAUACAGUCAAGACACAAGUCUAGUCAGCGGCCGAAAUUAAACACGGAUCGAGUAGAGAACUAUUUUUAUCGACUAAUUUUCCAAUAUAACCUAGCUGUGCAAGUGGCAUAUUUAUUUUUAAUUUUUUGUAGUAUAAGAAAUGUAGCUUUUCAUCUGAAUGAAUAAAGACGAAUAUUAUAUUGUGUUA